CGUCGCCGGCCGGCACAUGCAUGGAGCAGCUGCGCGCGCGGCCGCCAUGGCCCAGCUCCCACCUACUAUAUCUUUGCCGUGCCGUCAAAGGAUGCGGCGGCGACCCGGCCGGCCGGUAGAUGAUCAGUCCGACUGUCGAUGGCUCAGCGCGCGUUAUACCAACAUAUAGACGCAUGGCGUAUGUGUACAGCAGUCGAUCACCACCCCUGUCUCGCCUCCGUCAAUAUUAGGGCAAAACCUGCAGGCAAGCAAGCCGUGAUCGUGAAGAAUUAAUUCGUGAUGAGAUGUCAAAAGAUUACGAGAUCAAAAGCAGCAGAGCCCAGUUGCAGCCCCAUAUUAUCAUUCGCCCCCCGGAUCCGGUGGCCAAUCCUGUCUGUCCCCUAUUCCCUUCCAUCUUCUCGCCGACCGGCUCAAAAGUCCAAAAGAAAUCCAGUCGAGCGUCCAGCUAGCUGCCGUGCCAUGCGCUGCGCGUGCCAUGGAAAGGCGCCGAUCCAGGACAGGACCCCCCAUCCUACUAUUACUACCACGUCGCAGCCACCAGCCGUGCCCUUGCACGCUAUAGCUCGUUGCUAGUAGAGUUUGCUACUGCUGAAGUGCUGAGCCUCUCGCCGUCUGACACAUCGCUAUCGUUUGCCGCGGCGGCAUGGACCGGGAGGGCCUUUACGGAGGCCGCGGCGACGGCAGCAGGCUCCUGGUGGUCCAAGACCUCCAUGAGCGGCCGAUGGAGUGCUUCUCCGAUGAGGUCAACAGCCGAAACGGCUGCGGCGACGACGAGGAGGAGGAGGAGGGGAAUGGCGGAACUGGUUCUGGUUCUGGUUCACGGCCGCUGCCGGCGCCCAACGGGGCAGGAGGAGGAGGAGGCGACGGACCGGUGAGCGUGGAGACCGGGAAGCGGAGGCGCGGGCGGCCGCCGGGAUCCAAGAACAAGCCGAAGCCGCCGCCGGUGGUGACGCGGGACGUGGAGCCCGCGGCGGCCAUGCGCCCGCACGUGCUCGAGAUCCCCAGCGGCGGGGACGUCGCGCGCGCGCUCGCGGGCUUCGCGCGCCGCCGGGGUCUCGGGAUCUGCGUGCUCGCGGGGACCGGCGCCGUCGCCGACGUCUCGCUCCGUCACCCGGCGGCGUCGUCGUCCGCGGAUGGAGGAGGAGGGGGUGCUGCCGCUGCCGCCGCCGCGGUCGUCGUCUUCCGCGGCCGGUACGAGAUCCUCUCCAUCUCGGCCACGUUCCUGGCGCCGUCCAUGUCCGCGGCGGUGCCGGCCCGCUCCGCCGUCAGCAGGGACCUCUCGAUAUCGCUCGCCGGCCCGCACGGACAGAUCGUCGGGGGCGCUGUCGUGGGCCCUCUCGUCGCCGCCACCACCGUCGUUGUCCUGGCUGCCGCCUUCACCGACCUUAACUUCCACCGCCUCCCCCUCGAGGAUGACGCGUCAGCAGCGUCCGUCUCCGGGAGUGGGGAGGCCGGCGAACACCGUCACCGUGGGCAUCACGGGCAGCAUCAGCAACGGGAGCAUCACGACGCGAGCGGGUUGCACCCGCAGACCAUGGUGGCUCCGGCGACGACUCAGCCGGUUCCCUUGUACGCGCGCCAGUCACAGGAGUUGUGGCCGCCGGCGGCGGCAAGUGCACAGCGCCCACGCCCGCCGUAUCAAUAGCCUCCAGUCACAAGAGUCUGCUAUGGUGCUCGAUCCAUCGUAACUAUACACAUCUGAUUAUAUUAUUUUGUUGUGUCUAAUUUCUAUACGAGAGAUUUGAUGAUCUGGUUAGUGUUAGGGUUUUUAUUAGUGUGUAUCUUAUACAUUGAUGAUCUAGCUAGUUGUUACUGCUACUUUUAAUAAUUUGUUAGGGUUCAACGUUUCUGUUUACCUAAUGAGUUGACAUAUUUUGAUGCCAAUGGCGGUGUCAAGAGUCAAGACAUGCAAAUGACGGUGUGAUUUAUUUCUUAAGAGCAAGGUCAAUAAUAAAGCUAAGUGCUUGACUAUAAGUAUGUGAUUAGAGCCAAGUUAUACAGUAAGAAGACAUUUUCACCUUCCUAUUCCUUCUCAUGACAUUUGCUAUUCAGGUCUACCACUACCUGUGCAUCCAUGUCUAGCUUGGUGCUUGCAUAAGAGAUUAGUGCUCCCAUCUUCAUCAGGAAACUUAUCACCUUCUUCGGCAACAACGACAUUACCAGUUAACGGUAUGUAGCAGGUAUAGGGCAUAUAGAGCUGGGUUUUUCUAGGUUUAUUUGUUUGCGGAUCGGAGUUUAUUUUUGUACUCAUAUCCAUCUCAAAUUCUCCAUCCACAUAUAUUAAAAUAGAUUGAGGUAGAAGUUAAUCUAAGUUUCACCUAAUCUACCUUAACAUACACCUGGAUUAAAAGCUGGAUGUAAAUGUAUGAACUAAGCUUAGAUGGUAAAGGGGUAGAUGGCAUCUUGGACAUGAGGCAAGGUGGUAGGGUGCCACCUUCAUUAGAGCGUGGUCAUAGUUUGUAGCGGCUUUGAUUGCAUGUACUGUAUUAGGCUUAGUCUGCAUUAGACUUUAUGCAGCAAAACCUAAGUCAACAUGCAUAAAUGUAUUUUGUAUAGGCAAGCCACACCUGAUAAGAGAGAGAGUUUUUUUUAAUCAAACUUUUUUUUUAUGUUUCACUGGAUUUGUAGACAAUAAUCAAAAAAUCGAUUUAUUUAUAUAUGGACGGAUACGAAGUAUUAGAGGUUUUAUGUUAACAUUUUUUAUGUUUGAUCAAACUUAUAGACAAUAUUCUAGAUGUUUUAUGUUUCUAGUAAAGGUAUAGAAAACAAUAAUAUUUUAUUUUUUUUGUGUUCGUCAACUUGUGCACAUAUGCAUUGUCUAAUACGGAAUGGGGCUGAAUUGUGGAGAACUUUUUUUUUCACAAGGUGGAUAACUUAAAAAAGUUGUGAAGUUAUACGUAUGAGCCGUCCGAUGAAAUUAAAUAAUUGAAUGUGUAUAAAUUUGGUAGAUCUUUGGAUCCAAAAUCUAUCAACAGACGUCUAAGGUGUCGUUUGUUUCCUUAGGGAUCUCUAGGAAUCUGGAUAAAAAAAAUUCUGAUAUCUUUUAUUGGUCUUUCCGCCUGUACGUUAAAAUUAUUUAGAAUCUGGACUGUUUGGAUAACAUAAUGAAAUUCUUUAGAAUGUAGACUGUUUUGAUAACAUAUUGUUUUUUAGAUUUGUUUAUCUGGAUUCCCAGAAUUUCGUGGGAGUCAAACGGGGCCUAACAUGACCCUUUACUUAAUCCUAUUUUCUGAAAGUCGUCGUAGCAUCUAUGACUAUGCAGAUAGGUGAUUAGGUUUCUAGUAGUAGUGUGAUGAAGUAUAAGGCCAGUCUCAACGAGUUGUUUCAAUACACAGUUAUCAAAAUGCCACAUCAGUCAAAACACAGUGAAACAACAAACGAAAUUGAUUCUUACAAUGGUGAGUUUCAUUGCAGCGUUUCACAUGCACAUUAUAGCAUUAAAUACUAGUAUUUAGCUGUGAUCAAAUGUACUAGCAUAAACUCUGUAGCUAUUGUGUGUCCAGAUCAAAUAUAAAAUACUCCGAUCAUAGAAAACACCCUGCUAGAUAAACUCAUGUACUGAAAUAUUGCAAAUUGACUGAAAAAUUGACUCAUACAGCAGAAUCGGCGGAUCCAUGGAAACGCUUGCCCAGCUGCUUGCCCCCACGAACGUUCCCUCCUCUGCCUUGCGCAUCCAUGGACAGGACGGGGCUGGAGACUCGGCGGAGGCAGCUGCUGCUACCCGCGCGUGGCGCCCCGGCCGUCGCGUUCGCGUACCGCUCCUCCUCGACAGCGGCGACCGCGCUCCACGGGGCCGCGGCGCCCGCGCCCGCGCCCGCCUCCGACCUACGUGCCCGCCUCCGACCUGCGCGCCCACCUCUGCCUCCGGCUCCGACCUGCUGAUGUUGGCGGGAGUAAAGAAUUGGGGAGAAGGAAGCGGGAGGAAGGGGCGGGAAGAAGGCCGGGAGGAGCGCGCGCGCAAAUGGAGAGCUCACGGUGCUGGCGGUUCCCUCUGCGUUCGGGAUCAAGAAUGAAACGAAAACUCCCCUCGAUGGCCGUUUCACCGCGUUAUCGAGGCCUGGGAAACGACGCUGAGUCAUUUCACCAUGGUGAAACGAUUUUCAUCUCUCUCCUCUCUAUUUCAUGCAAAGAUUCCCUUUUGGCUGAUGUGUCACCUCAUUAAAUGUGCAUGACACUCAACUAAAACUCCCAUUGAGAAUGGCCUAA